rnacentral:rRNA from 1 species
GGCUCAGGACGAACGCUGGCGGCGUGCUUAACACAUGCAAGUCGAACGCUGAAGCUUGGUGCUUGCACUGGGUGGAUGAGUGGCGAACGGGUGAGUAAUACGUGAGUAACCUGCCCUUGACUCUGGGAUAAGCCUGGGAAACUGGGUCUAAUACUGGAUACGACAUGUCACCGCAUGGUGGCGUGUGGAAAGGGUUUUACUGGUUUUGGAUGGGCUCACGGCCUAUCAGCUUGUUGGUGGGGUAAUGGCUCACCAAGGCGACGACGGGUAGCCGGCCUGAGAGGGUGACCGGCCACACUGGGACUGAGACACGGCCCAGACUCCUACGGGAGGCAGCAGUGGGGAAUAUUGCACAAUGGGCGAAAGCCUGAUGCAGCGACGCCGCGUGAGGGAUGACGGCCUUCGGGUUGUAAACCUCUUUCAGCACGGAAGA